rnacentral:rRNA from 1 species
UGACCGCUGGCGGCGUGCCUACUACAUGCAAGUCGAGCGAACAGACGCGGAGCUUGCUCCUCUGACGUUAGCGGCGGACGGGUGAGUAACACGUGGAUAACCUACCUAUAAGACUGGGAUAACUUCGGGAAACCGGAGCUAAUACCGGAUAAUAUAUUGAACCGCAUGGUUCACUAGUGAAAGACGGUUUUGCUGUCACUUAUAGAUGGAUCCGCGCCGCAUUAGCUAGUUGGUAAGGUAACGGCUUACCAAGGCAACGAUGCGUAGCCGACCUGAGAGGGUGAUCGGCCACACUGGAACUGAGACACGGUCCAGACUCCUACGGGAGGCAGCAGUAGGGAAUCUUCCGCAAUGGGCGAAAGCUUGACGGAGCAACGCCGCGUGAGUGAUGAAGGUCUUCGGAUCGUAAAACUCUGUUAUUAGGGAAGAACAAAUGUGUAAGUAACUAUGCACGUCUUGACGGUACCUAAUCAGAAAGCCACGGCUAACUACGUG